GUGAACGCUGGCGGUAGGCCUAACACAUGCAAGUCGCACGGCAGCACAGUAAGAGCUUGCUCUUACGGGUGGCGAGUGGCGGACGGGUGAGGGAUACAUCGGAAUCUACUUUUUCGUGGGGGAUAACGUAGGGAAACUUACGCUAAUACCGCAUACGACCUACGGGUGAAAGCAGGGGAUCUUCGGACCUUGCGCGAUUGAAUGAGCCGAUGUCGGAUUAGCUAGUUGGCGGGGUAAAGGCCCACCAAGGCGACGAUCCGUAGCUGGUCUGAGAGGAUGAUCAGCCACACUGGAACUGAGACACGGUCCAGACUCCUACGGGAGGCAGAAGUGGGGAAUAUUGGACAAUGGGCGCAAGCCUGAUCCAGCCAUACCGCGUGGGUGAAGAAGGCCUUCGGGUUGUAAAGCCCUUUUGUUGGGAAAGAAAAGCAGCAGGUUAAUACCCCGCUGUUCUGACGGUACCCAAAGAAUAAGCACCGGCUAACUUCGUG
rnacentral:rRNA from 1 species